ACAAAUCUCAACAAUUUCGCUGCUGUAUGGACACAAACAUUCCGGGAGAGGCUUUGAUAGUUUGAAGUUUUAUAGCUAUUUUGAUUGUUGAGUGGACUUGAUGAUACAUAUACAGCUGCAUAAAGCGACAACAGUUGCAGAAAACAACAGAGCUAUCUGACGAUGCAAUCAUCGUGGAAGGCUUGAAGUUCAUGCAUUAGGAAGGUUGCGACUGAAAGAACCUUGACGCUCCGAGAUGAAUAUGGCAACAACAGCAGCAGAACAUCAACAAAACAUCAAAGAUAAAUGAUAGAAUAAAUAAAGUAGGAGAGACUUCCUAAUCUCA
rnacentral:sRNA from 1 species